rnacentral:rRNA from 1 species
AACCGCAUAAGCGCACAGCUUUGCAUGAAGCAGUGUGAAAAACUCCGGUGGUACAGGAUGGACCCGCGUCUGAUUAGCCAGUUGGCAGGGUAAUGGCCUACCAAAGCGACGAUCAGUAGCCGGCUUGAGAGAGUGACCGGCCACAUUGGGACUGAGACACGGCCCAAACUCCUACGGGAGGCAGCAGUGGGGGAUAUUGCACAAUGGGGGAAACCCUGAUGCAGCGACGCCGCGUGAGUGAAGAAGUAUUUCGGUAUGUAAAGCUCUAUCAGCAGGGAAGAAAACAAUGACAGUACCUGACUAAGAAGCCCCGGCUAACUACGUGCCAGCAGCCGCGGUAAUACGUAGGGGGCAAGCGUUAUCCGGAUUUACUGGGUGUAAAGGGAGCGUAGGCGGUGCGGCAAGUCAGAAGUGAAAGCCCGGGGCUCAACUCCGGGACUGCUUUUGAAACUGUCGGACUGGAGUGUCGGAGAGGUAAGUGGAAUUCCUAGUGUAGCGGUGAAAUGCGUAGAUAUUAGGAGGAACACCAGUGGCGAAGGCGGCUUACUGGACGAUCACUGACGCUGAGGCUCGAAAGCGUGGGGAGCAAACAGGAUUAGAUACCCUGGUAGUCCACGCCGUAAACGAU